rnacentral:rRNA from 1 species
UACAGAGGUCUCAAGCGUUGUUCGGAUUCAUUGGGCGUAAAGGGUGUGUAGGUGGCGCCGUAAGUCGGGUGUGAAAAUUUCGGAGCUUAACUCCGAAACUGCAUUCGAUACUGCGGUGCUUGAGGACUGGAGAGGAGACUGGAAAUUUCAUGGUGUAGCAGUGAAAUGCGUAGAGAUCAUGAGGGAAGACCAGUGGCGAAGGCGGGUCUCUGGACAGUUCCUGACACUGAGACACGAAGGCCAGGGGAGCAAACGGG